rnacentral:rRNA from 1 species
CCUACGGGGUGCAGCAGUGAGGAAUAUUGGUCAAUGGACGAGAGUCUGAACCAGCCAAGUAGCGUGAAGGAUGACUGCCCUAUGGGUUGUAAACUUCUUUUAUAUGGGAAUAAAAUGUUCCACGUGUGGGAUUUUGUAUGUACCAUAUGAAUAAGGAUCGGCUAACUCCGUGCCAGCAGCCGCGGUAAUACGGAGGAUCCGAGCGUUAUCCGGAUUUAUUGGGUUUAAAGGGAGCGUAGGUGGGUUGUUAAGUCAGUUGUGAAAGUUUGCGGCUCAACCGUAAAAUUGCAGUUGAAACUGGCAGUCUUGAGUACAGUAGAGGUGGGCGGAAUUCGUGGUGUAGCGGUGAAAUGCUUAGAUAUCACGAAGAACUCCGAUUGCGAAGGCAGUUCACUGGACUGCAACUGACGCUGAGGCUCGAAAGUGUGGGUAUCAAACAGGAUUAGAUACCCGGGUAGUC